rnacentral:rRNA from 1 species
UGGCGAACGGGUGAGUAAUAUAUCGGAACGUGCCCUAGAGUGGGGGAUAACUAGUCGAAAGACUAGCUAAUACCGCAUACGAUCUAAGGAUGAAAGUGGGGGAUCGCAAGACCUCAUGCUCGUGGAGCGGCCGAUAUCUGAUUAGCUAGUUGGUGGGGUAAAAGCCUACCAAGGCAACGAUCAGUAGCUGGUCUGAGAGGACGACCAGCCACACUGGGACUGAGACACGGCCCAGACUCCUACGGGAGGCAGCAGUGGGGAAUUUUGGACAAUGGGGGCAACCCUGAUCCAGCAAUGCCGCGUGAGUGAAGAAGGCCUUCGGGUUGUAAAGCUCUUUUGUCAGGGAAGAAACGGUUCUGGAUAAUACCUGGGACUAAUGACGGUACCUGAAGAAUAAGCACCGGCUAACUACGUGCCAGCAGCCGCGGUAAUACGUAGGGUGCAAGCGUUAAUCGGAAUUACUGGGCGUAAAGCGUGCGCAGGCGGUUGUGUAAGUCAGAUGUGAAAUCCCCGGGCUCAACCUGGGAAUUGCAUUUGAGACUGCACGGCUAGAGUGUGUCAGAGGGGGGUAGAAUUCCACGUGUAGCAGUGAAAUGCGUAGAUAUGUGGAGGAAUACCG